rnacentral:rRNA from 1 species
CUAGACUUGACAUCUCCUGAAUUACCCUUAACCGGGGAAGCCCUUCGGGGCAGGAAGACAGGUGGUGCAUGGUUGUCGUCAGCUCGUGUCGUGAGAUGUUGGGUUAAGUCCCGCAACGAGCGCAACCCUUAUCAUUAGUUGCUACCAUUAAGUUGAGCACUCUAGUGAGACUGCCACGGUUAACGUGGAGGAAGGUGGGGAUGACGUCAAAUCAUCAUGCCCCUUAUGUCUAGGGCUACACACGUGCUACAAUGGUGAAUACAAAGAGAUGCAAUACCGCGAGGUGGAGCCAAACUCAAAAAUUCAUCCCAGUUCGGAUUGUAGGCUGAAACUCGCCUACAUGAAGCCGGAGUUGCUAGUAAUCGCGAAUCAGCAUGUCGCGGUGAAUACGUUCCC